GAAAAAUGGCAGGUAUCAUCCACAAGAUAAGCGAGAAGCUCCAUGGCGGCGACCACAAGGAGGAGGAGAAGCACAAGGAACAGAAGAAGCAUGAAGGCGGCAGCGUGGUGGAGAAGAUAAAGGAGAAGAUCCACGGCGAUAAGAAGGGAGAGGAGCAUGGAGAGAAGAAGAAGGAUAAGAAGGGAGAUGAGCACGGUGAUAAGAAGAAGAAGGACAAGAAGAA
rnacentral:misc_RNA from 1 species